ACAGGCCUAACACAUGCAAGUCGAGGGGCGAGCACAAGGAGCAAUCUGAGGUGGCGACCGGCGCACGGGUGAGUAACACGUAUGCAACCUGCCUGUAAGCGGGGAAUAACCCGUUGAAAGACGGACUAAUACCGCACAAUACUAAAUUACUGCAUGGUAAUUUAUUUAAACAUUUAUGGCUUACAGAUGGGCAUGCGCAUGAUUAGCUAGUUGGAGAGGUAACGGCUCCCCAAGGCAACGAUCAUUAGGGGUUCUGAGAGGAAGGUCCCCCACACUGGUACUGAGACACGGACCAGACUCCUACGGGAGCAGCAGUGAGGAAUAUUGGUCAAUGGACGAGAGUCUGAACCAGCCAAGUCGCGUGCAGGAAGAAUGUCCUUAAUGGAUUGUAAACUGCUUUUGCAGGGGAAUAAAGUGCAUCACGUGUGAUGUUUUGUAUGUACUCUGCGAAUAAGGAUCGGCUAACUCCGUGCCAGCAGCAGC
rnacentral:rRNA from 1 species